rnacentral:lncRNA from 1 species
GGUACAUCGAAGUGAUUUAAAAAAAGAACACUUAAUUGUUUGACACAAAACAAUACCGGCCAUUUUAGAAAACAGAGGAUAUAAAUCACCCGGAUAAACUUUAAUGAUUCGUCUUUUUUAGUCGUUUUUGAAGCUAUGAGUUGUUGGUGCUUCGAAUGUAAUUUCGAUAGAAUCUUUUGUAUAAAACAUAUUUGGCGAGCUGACACCUAAAGGUCGCUUGGCGUACAAACGAUUAAAAAAAAUAUUUUCAAAAUAGCUAGUUUCUGAAGCCGCGAUUACGGUGAGGUGUACUGGAUAAACGUGAUUACCAGAAAUCACACUUCUGCUACAUGCAAACAAUUUCGUUAACCCGUCUAUUUUUGUUCAGAUACAGUCACUAAGAAACCAAUUAAUAAUUAUAUGAACGUUGUUGCUUUCAACAUGAUGCAACCGACAAGCACUUUUCGUUCGCACAAAUAGAUCAUAGGUUUGUUUAGACUGAGAAUGCAAAAGCAAACAGAGGGAGUAAGGGGUAGCGUAAGACAAUGUAAAGCCUCAAGCCUAUCUGUCAGUGAUUCUCUAUCGGUUGUUUUGAGCGCAAUUGUUGUAGCGGUGACGGGGUCGCGCGAAACUGUCACCGAUCGCCAACAGCGCGAUAACACCGCAGCAGAGGGCUCUGCGGCGCUUUUAGACACUGCGAUCAAUACAAUGCUUGGCUCGACGGUCAACGUGUCCAAACAACUGUGUAGAAAAAGGCCUUAAAUGAUUGGCCGAUUAAUCUAAGCCGGCCCCUAGUCAGUUUGCCUAGGAGCUAGGGCCUGUUUUUUUGUGCUCUAAUUUUCGUGUUGACAACCCGCAACUGCCGUCGGGAAGUUCAAUAAUAAUCAUCAUCAUCAUCAUCAGACUGUGUCAAUCCUUAUUGUUUUGUAUCUAUAGUACAUUCAUAUAACAGAUAAUUGAUUCUGAACUGGUGGAGAACGUAGGGGAAAUCGAUCGACGAAAGCAAGUUUUAAAGGUCACCCACGAUUUGAUCGAUACGAUGGAUACAAAUGAUAUAUUUCACAGUGAUUACGUGCUCAAGCGAGCGUUUGUCUGUUUCCGUACAUCGUAGCAUCAAGGGACGCUAAAAACAACAGCUGAAGUGGCAAAGGCCACGAAACAACUACAACGGCAACCACUGGAAGACGCGAAACGCGAACAAGUAACUGCGUCCGCUGCUGCGCUGUCGGCAUGUGCCUAAACCUGGUCACUUUUUAAUUAUUCAGUUACGUCGCGUAUCGUAAAAUUGCACACCAGAACAAAACGAGCGAUGGCUCCCCGGGAGGCCAUAGCACUAAACCGACUACCGUCCUCGAACUCGUCCAAAGCCUCUCAGCAGUCGCCCGAAUCAGCGGUCAGCGCCACAAACAAUGGCGGAGCUGGCGAAAGAAGUUCUACGCCGACAAAUCUACGCAGUGAGACUCAACUUCCAAUAUCAACCACUGUUGGCCAGCAUGAGGAAAGGUUUAGAGAUUGCUGUGCUAGUGGGGUAGGCGUAUCAGAUAGGGCGGUCGGAUUCGCCCUUUUUCUACUAUUUGUUACCACCGUUAUGUUUUAUGCCGCUUCUUCAAAAACUCUCUGGGAUCCCGCCAGGUGGAAAAGUUACAACACUGAAAAUUCGACAGAGGCCGACUUUACGCAAAAAGAAUCAUUUUUCUAUUAAUUACUCGACCUGGGCGCUGGUAGGUACACCGACCUUAAGCUUCAUUUUGUUUUACCAUUUACGCUGCUCCAUACGUACUUUGCUUUACGUAGCUUGUACAAAGAAACACAGCGUAUGUAAUUGUCAUAUCGCGUAGCAAAUGCGCCCCUCGACCGCUUUAUUUCUGCGUUUGUCGAUGGCGAUUUGUAUAUAGUGCCCAUCGCUAUUACAAAGUACAUGUGAUGUGGAUUCGUAGGAUAACGCAGGAGGCAAAAAGAACAGCGGCUUAGGGAAGGGCAGAAAGGACUAGAGAGAAUAGCAGAACUGAGGUUUAGUGGUUUGUUUUCUAAAAGCAGUUUUUUGAUAGCUAUCCACAAACGCGUUAUUCGGGUCCCACGCUUAAUGCCAGUGAAGAAGACAUGUGGACUCUGAGAAGGUACCAGCAGGCGUUAAUAAGCCCUCGGUAAAUCAUAGAUACAAUGGCAACAACAACAACAACAACAACGGAAAGAGAUAACCUUUUACGGGAUACGACCUCAUAGCCGAUACGCUAAAAGCUAUUUUUGACAUGACUUUUUCGCCUGCUAUUGCAGCCGUGUACAUAUAUAUACGUGAUUGUAGAUGUUUAUAUAAAGAUAGUGAGCAGGGCUUGUUGAAGCAGUGAGCAGAAGGAUCGGGGGAAAAUGAUAACAGUAGAAACGGUCAACGUUGCUGAUCUAUGUCUGUAUUACAGCCUGAUAUGGCUAUUUCAAACAUGUCAUAAUUUAAAACAAAAAAAUGAAGUGAUUCGUAAUGUUUAGGACAUAAAGAAAAACAAAAGAAAACACACGAAGGUGGCAAUUUCAAGAUUCAAGGCAUUAUGCUGAAAUCGUUUUGCAAUACGUUGGGCGCUAACCCAAUGUGUUCGUGAUUAUUUUUUUAAAUCAUUGAUUCGUAAAUACAUUCCAUGAAAAGGCUAGGCAUUACUAUUUCAGGUAGCGUGCUAUAGGUUCAGCCUAUUUAAUUAACGAAGGCUAAUAAAAAAUUCAAUUUCGAACCACUUGUUUUUAAUCAUUUUUUUCGCUUUAGCAGACACUAGGGAAUAAAAUUUUUGUAAGAAGACGAAUAUCAAAUCAAAUAAAAAUCAAAGAAAAAAAAACAGAACCCAAUACACCCGUUUGAACGUCUUUUCGUCCAGUAUAUUAAAUAUUUGAUGCGCUCCAUAUAGAAGUUUGUAGACGGCUUCUAAGGCAUUUAGCUCGCUGAUCUUACGAUCAGCGUGCCAUCAUAUACAACAGUUUCCCUUGCAAUUUCCUGUUUCAAGGUCGCCCAUAGUCCUUAAUGGAACCAAAUCGAUUUAUAACGCCAUAGUUCACGCAAAAGUUAUAUCUGACCUGCACUUACGUUAUUUGAAGUUCAAAAGCGACUGAACUCGGUGCAUCAGCCUUGUGAACCGGGAGAGACCCACGAUUACCGCCGAAAAGCUUAACACAAAACUAGAUACGCCCACAGACAAUUGGACAAUUACGCUGCUCGCUGCUUUCCUGGGUCUCUUAGUAACGAACAACAUCUCGCGCCCAGCCUUUAUCAGAUCUGUGAGCUCUUCGAUAGAUGAAAUUAAUAGAUGAAAUUUAUCGAAUUUAUAAGUUCGGCGACAAAUGUUUUACAACAAAAGAUAUUUUGGCCGAAAGCACAAGUUAAAAGGAGAGGGGCAGUCAUUCAUUACACGUUUGUGGGCACAGAUGUUAUCGUAAAUUCAAUCCGAAACCUUCGCGAGAGCGCAGGCUUAAUGUCUAAACAACUUAAACAAGAUAGAUUUCUUUUCAAAAAAUGUCUUUCCUUAUAAAUCUGAACAUCAAUCAUGGAAUUGCACAAUGAUUUGUCUAAUUAAAUCGCUACAUUAUAGAUCAAAGUAAAAAAGGCCGGCCUAUAACGAUCCUCAACGACUUAGACUACGGUACCGGGUUAGAGGGUUAGCAUUAGACGUUAGAGGCUAUGCGUAAACCUCGGCAGGGGACUCGCUUUUUUCGUCAAGCACAAAAAUGCUCGUAUCUGUGGCUGCACGACACACGUUCGCACUGCCUCCCCUGUAGACCCUGAACGUCCAAAGGAAUACGUCGAUAACACACUACAAUCCCGCAACAAGAUCCCCCAGAUGUGCUUGU